AGUGAACGCUGGCGGUAGGCCUAACACAUGCAAGUCGAACGGCAGCACAGUAAGAGCCUGCUCUUACGGGUGGCGAGUGGCGGACGGGUGAGGAAUACAUCGGAAUCUACUUUUUCGUGGGGGAUAACGUAGGGAAACUUACGCUAAUACCGCAUACGACCUACGGGUGAAAGCAGGGGAUCUUCGGACCUUGCGCGAUUGAAUGAGCCGAUGUCGGAUUAGCUAGUUGGCGGGGUAAAGGCCCACCAGGGCGACGAUCCGUAGCUGGUCUGAGAGGAUGAUCAGCCACACUGGAACUGAGACACGGUCCAGACUCCUACGGGAGGCAGCAGUGGGGAAUAUUGGACAAUGGGCGCAAGCCUGAUCCAGCCAUACCGCGUGGGUGAAGAAGGCCUUCGGGUUGUAAAGCCCUUUUGUUGGGAAAGAAAAGCAGCAGGUUAAUACCCCGCUGUUCUGACGGUACCCAAAGAAUAAGCACCGGCUAACUUCGUG
rnacentral:rRNA from 1 species